rnacentral:sRNA from 1 species
AAGAAAGUAGGGCAGACGGCUGUGGUACUGCCUCAGGCGAUCGAGCUGUGUCAUCUUCCGGUGGAAUGGUCCUGCAUGGUCCCAGCGCACACCGACCUUGUUGGCAAUGAAAGAUGAGGAAGAUCCAGUGCCGUGAGUAGAGUUCCGGUGGUCACAGGAUCUUUUACUACAGAGCUUGUUGGCAGUCUGUAGCACCAGCACCAGCUUCCGGGGAGUGUUGUUCUCUACAAGGGACAGCCGAGUAGAAGGGCCUCAUUGAGGGUUCCAGUCUCCGGUCCUCUAGAUUUCUUGUGUGUAUCGUACAGCUGCACCUGACUAGAGCUGAACCGACAGGCUUAACAGGACGGAGUCGGGAUGGCAGCACUGGACUGUUGGCAUGAAGAGGACAUGGAUGAAAGGGCAUCUCGAUAGGCUUCCUGGGGCGGACGCGUCCACUGGUCACUUGCCGAGACUGACCGGGAACUGUCAUCAGCAUCUCCAACGUCGUCGCCAUGGCAACCGUCAACAGGGUUAUAACCGAAAAUACAAGACCAAUGUGGCCAAAUUUGACCGUGCCCUGCUGACAGAUGUGUGUGUUGUGUCUAUGUUUGAUGAGAACUCCUCCCAUUCGUGACUGUGUUUAUUACCGUAUAUCAACAGCCCAGCGUUCCAGCUGAUGUAACAGGUGGCCACCCCCGUCACCACCGAGGCGAGGGUGGUGCUCAAGUAGACCCCUGAAGAGACAGAUAGAACUAAGUGCAAGUGUUAUAGAUGUGAUAGAUCUCAAAAUGUCACACAAAUCAAUUCACUUAAUUGUCAAGAAUGAUACAAAUUCUGAUCAUCAAAUUAUUAAUUUUCCCAAUUUUGACCUGAGUAUGAGAAUCCGACGAUUCCAGCCCGCUCCGACACUGGGGCCCACGCCGACAGAAUGGCGCUCAGCGCUGGCUGACACAUACCCUUUUGUAAUGACAAUUCAAGUUUAUAAUAUUUUACAUGAAAAAUAUUCAUAAUCCAUAUGACAAAUUUGGAAGAAAAACACCUUUGGCUUACCUCUGCAAGUCCUUGGAUGAAUCUAAUCGCAAAUACUAUCAUUGUACUGUAUGGCAUUAAAAAUGCCAGGACCAAGAAACAAGACCCACUCAGGAAGAUGGAUCCUCCCAGUAUUCUAUUUAAGACAUUGGAUAAGUGAAUUUGUAAAAUUCUUUAAUAAAGAUACUCCAAGUC